rnacentral:rRNA from 1 species
UGAGGAAUAUUGGUCAAUGGGCGAGAGCCUGAACCAGCCAAGUCGCGUGAAGGAAGACAGUCCUAAGGAUUGUAAACUUCUUUUAUACGGGAAUAACGGGCGAUACGAGUAUUGCAUUGAAUGUACCGUAAGAAUAAGCAUCGGCUAACUCCGUGCCAGCAGCCGCGGUAAUACGGAGGAUGCGAGCGUUAUCCGGAUUUAUUGGGUUUCAAGGGUGCGUAGGUUGUUCGGUAAGUCAGCGGUGAAACCUGAGCGCUCAACGUUCAGCCUGCCGUUGAAACUGCCGGGCUUGAGUUCAGUGGCAGCAGGCGGAAUUCGUUGUGUAGCGGUGAAAUGCAUAGAUAUCACGAGGAACUCCGAUUGCGAAGGCAGCUUGCCAUACUGCGACUGACACUGAAGCACGAAGGCGUGGGUAUCAAACAGG